rnacentral:rRNA from 1 species
GACGAACGCUGGCGGCGUGCUUAACACAUGCAAGUCGAACGGAAAGGCCCUGCUUUUGUGGGGUGCUCGAGUGGCGAACGGGUGAGUAACACGUGAGUAACCUGCCCUUGACUUUGGGAUAACUUCAGGAAACUGGGGCUAAUACCGGAUAGGAGCUCCUGCUGCAUGGUGGGGGUUGGAAAGUUUCGGCGGUUGGGGAUGGACUCGCGGCUUAUCAGCUUGUUGGUGGGGUAGUGGCUUACCAAGGCUUUGACGGGUAGCCGGCCUGAGAGGGUGACCGGCGAGAUGGGGACUGAGAGACGGCGCAGAGCGGGCGGGGGGACGGCAGUGGGGAGGAGGGCACAAUGGGUGGAGGCCUGAUGCAGCUACGCGGGGGGCGGGAGGAGGGGCUUCGGGUUGGAAACAGCUGUCGCCUGGGACGAAGCGGGAGGGACGGGAAUGGGUAAAGAAGCACCGGCUAACUACGGG